rnacentral:rRNA from 1 species
GGAGCUUGCUCCUGAGAUUCGAGCGGCGGACGGGUGAGUAACACGUAGGCAACCUACCCUUGAGAUUGGGAUAACUACCGGAAACGGUAGCUAAUACCGGAUACGACAUUCCUGCAUAAGUAAGAAUGUUAAAAGGCGGAUUUAUCUGCCGCUCAUGGAUGGGCCUGCGGUGCAUUAGCUAGUUGGUGAGAUAGUAGCUCACCAAGGCGACGAUGCAUAGCCGACCUGAGAGGGUGAUCGGCCACACUGGGACUGAGACACGGCCCAGACUCCUACGGGAGGCAGCAGUAGGGAAUCUUCCGCAAUGGACGCAAGUCUGACGGAGCAACGCCGCGUGAGUGAUGAAGGGUUUCGGCUCGUAAAACUCUGUUGUUAAGGAAGAACACUUGAGGUAGUAACUGGCCUUGAGAUGACGGUACUUAACCAGAAAGCCACGGCUAACUACGUGCCAGCAGCCGCGGUAAUACGUAGGUGGCAAGCGUUAUCCGGAAUUAUUGGGCGUAAAGCGCGCGUAGGCGGUAAAAUAAGUCUGAUGUGAAAGCCCCCGGCUCAACCGGGGAGGGUCAUUGGAAACUGUUUUACUUGAGUACAGAAGAGGAGAGUGGAAUUCCAUGUGUAGCGGUGAAAUGCGCAGAGAUAUGGAGGAACACCAGUGGCGAAGGCGGCUCUCUGGUCUGUAACUGACGCUGA